rnacentral:rRNA from 1 species
GGAGGAAAAGAAACUAACAAGGAUUCCCCUAGUAACGGCGAGUGAACCGGGAAGAGCUCAAAUUUGAAAUCUGGCGUCCUCAGGGCGUCCGAGUUGUAAUCUAUAGAGGCGUUUUCCGUGCCGGACCGUGUCCAAGUUCCUUGGAACAGGAUAUCAAAGAGGGUGACAAUCCCGUACUUGACACGACGACCGGUGCUCUGUGAUACGUCUUCUACGAGUCGAGUUGUUUGGGAAUGCAGCUCAAAAUGGGUGGUGAGUUCCAUCUAAAGCUAAAUAUUGGCGAGAGACCGAUAGCGAACAAGUACCGUGAGGGAAAGAUGAAAAGCACUUUGGAAAGAGAGUUAAACAGUACGUGAAAUUGUUGAAAGGGAAACGAUUGAAGUCAGUCGUGACCGAGAGGCUCAGCCGGUUCUGCCGGUGUAUUCCCCUCGGUCGGGUCAACAUCAGUUUUGUCCGGUGGAUAAGGGCGGUAGGAAGGUGGCACCCUCGGGUGUGUUAUAGCCUGCCGUCGCAUACAUCGGGUGAGACUGAGGAACGCAGCUCGCCUUUAUGGCCGGGGUUCGCCCACGUCCGAGCUUAGGAUGUUGACAUAAUGGCUUUAAACGAC